GACGAACGCUGGCGGCGUGCUUAACACAUGCAAGUCGAACGGAAAGGCCUCUUUCGGGGGGUACUCGAGUGGCGAACGGGUGAGUAACACGUGAGUAACCUGCCCUUGACUUUGGGAUAACUUCAGGAAACUGGGGCUAAUACCGGAUAGGAGCUCCUGCUGCAUGGUGGGGGUUGGAAAGUUUCGGCGGUUGGGGAUGGACUCGCGGCUUAUCAGCUUGUUGGUGGGGUAGUGGCUUACCAAGGCUUUGACGGGUAGCCGGCCUGAGAGGGUGACCGGCCACAUUGGGACUGAGAUACGGCCCAGACUCCUACGGGAGGCAGCAGUGGGGAAUAUUGCACAGUGGGUGGAAGCCUGAUGCAGCAACGCCGUGUGCGGGAUGACGGCCUUCGGGUUGUAAACCGCUUUCGCUCAUGACGAAGCUUUGUGUGACGGUAGUGGGUAAAGAAGCACCGGCUAACUACGUG
rnacentral:rRNA from 1 species